rnacentral:sRNA from 1 species
CUCUGGACCAAGCAUUCUGCGUACAUCUAAACACAUGAGCGCGUGACGGCGUACGUAGCAAGUUCCGUUUCACUUUUUUUCAUCCUUGCCUCUUUUUCCUGGAACUAUUUCAACGGCGAGGAGGCACGAGGAACAACCAUAUUCAAUGGCUACCAUCGUGACUGGUAACUGCCAUCAUCUGCCGCAUCUUUCUGAAGUCUGAAUAUAAAUGCAUCCAUGUUUUACGGCUUUGCAGGACACUCCUGCAGCAGCAGAAAAAGCAUGAUUGUUGUUCUUCAAUGCCACAUACCAAACUGCAGGAGGCGGUAUUAUUACUGUGGACCAGACGCAGAGGGAGACGAGUAGGCAGCCUUGGUUGCGCUGAGGGAUUCGAGAGACGACGAGAUGCAUGAAAAUAAAGUUGGAAGUUCAUUCGUUGGUAACGGGCCUUCUUCUCGCCGCCAAAUUUUUGUUACUAGCUGAUGAACUAUUUUUCUUUCG